rnacentral:lncRNA from 1 species
GGCACUACUCUGCACAUAAGUCGGAACUACCUGAAGUAGUCUGUACGACAAGAAUGGUGUAAUGAUACGCUCUAGUGCUUCUCUCAUCAAUCAUAUGCGCGCAUAAUCUAAGGUCACCUACUAGUCGGAACCACCUCUAGUGAUCUGUACGACUAGCAUGUCGGAACCCUUUCAUGGUCUGUACGACAUGCACCUACUUGGAUCGAAGGUGAGCGUGCGAUGCGGUGAAUAAUAUAAGCACUAACACCAGGGGUGCAGGUUAUGAGCUCUCAACACAAUUCACAUCAUCAAUGAUUCACAUGAGUAACAUAAAACUCACCUGAUACUCACCUGUGCGUCCACAGCACCAAUUCACAUAUAUAUAUAUGCAUCAAUAUCAAUUCAUAUAAUUCAUAAUAUGCAUGCAUGGCAUUUGAAAACAUACUUUCAUAUAAAUUCAAUUUCUGGGAAAAUCAAUAGUAUAUAGGUAUAUACUGAAAACAAAAUUGCCCACUCACUGGUAAGUCGAUGGGUCGUAACCCCCGUGACGUCCCUGGAUGCGCUCGUCCUCGGGAUAGGUGUCACCUAUAUGCGAAACAACUAUAAAAACAUUAAUUUAAGCACAUAACCGACAAUUCGAAAUAACUUCUCAUAUGGUGCUCAAUUUGGGUAUAUGAAUAUACCACAU